AUGCUGAAAAUUGAUGAUUUCAUUCAAUUUUUUUUUUAUCAGGCAGAAAGCUAUAGAAAAAGGAAAAAAGAGACUAACUCCUCUCAAAGACUACCCCUAUGGCACCAUCUAACAGAGUAGAAUUUAAAGCAGGAGAACUGGUAUCUAAAACAACUAAAGAUACAUUGCUAGAGGCACCUAGCUAAUUAGCUAAAAAAAUCUGCAUUUUGGUUUCCCUCCCGCAAGGUAUGUUGAAAGGAGAGUUCCAUUGCCCGUCCCUAAACUCCUGAAUGAGGUUGAUGAUUGGAGCAAAAGGAUGCCGCGCUGAAACACCCUCAGAAAUUAACUUGAUUUCAUUCAAUUUAAAAAUAAACUUUGAAUCUCUACUUAAUUAAAUCCAUUUUCAUUCAAAUUAAGAUUGAUCGAAUCUUCAAAAAGUAUUCAAGACUUAUUUAUUUAAUCCCUUGAUUUGAUUUGAGCUCUUCAAAAGUAAUUAAUCCCUUAGUUUUCAAAAAGAGAUCAAGGAAUUAAAAUAGAAGUUAAACUCAAAAAGCGACCACGCAUUUGAUUACUUCCGUUCCUACAUAUCAACAUGGAUCAUCUUAUACAAAAUUAAAAUAUGAUCAUAUGUUUAAAUAUGCUAUAUCUCUUAAUUUAUUGGACAUGAGACCCAUUCCGAAUUGAAUCAAGGACCUUAUCUUUAGAUGGAAUGUCAUGCAAUAAUUUUUUUUUUAAUUGAUACAUUAACCUAAAGUUAGUCAAAAGGAGGCCCAAGUCAUUAAAGCAAGUUUCAAGAGUAUUUUUUUUAAACCGUGAAAUUCAUUUUUAAAAAAUUUCUUGAAAGCUCUUGCAAUUAGUUAUGAGAUGAGUAGUUAUCAUGGACUACAAAGGGCUUUUUAUGAUAAAAUAUUAGGUAGUUUGUGACCACUAAGUAAUUAUAGUUCCAAUAAAUUUUAAGAUAAUAAAUAUUUAUGUUUUUCAAUUUAUCGAAAAGAAUUAAAAAUACUUAAUUAAUUAUAUGUAUCAUGUACAAAUUAGUAAGGAUAACAGUGAUCAUAAAUCACUAAAUAAUCUCUUCUAUUAUUAUGAGCGAAUUGAACUAAUACUAUAGAAAUCAAGGCUUUUUUGAUGAGACAACAUUAUGUAGUCUGAGUCCAUUACAUGGCCAUGGUCUCCCAACCAAUUUGAAGGAGGUAUACUAAUGUUUUCAAUUUACUAAAAAGAAUCAAUAAUACUCCUUCCAGUCCAUUAUUUAAGAAACAAGUUUUAUUGUAAUUUACACUAAAAUUUAUUUCUUAUAAAAAUAACUGUAAAAGUAAUACUUAAUUAUGUAUCAUCUACAAAUAAGUAGGAAUAAUGAUUCUAAACCUCAUAAUUUUUUUUUUCUAUAUAUUAGCGCAUUGGUCUAAUAAAAAUCUAAUUUGUACCAUAGAGGAUAAUAGUGAUUUUAGUCCCUUCACCCAAAUGUCGAUAGAGAUUCCCCUUACCUGACUAACAAAUUACAGAUUUACAGGUCACAUGAUAAUUCACUUUAUUAUGCAUUCUUAAUUUCUUAUUAUCAUACACACUUAUCACAUGUGUGAUCUUCUUUUAAAAUACUCGUUUUGAUGGUGUUUGGGAAAACGACAUUUGGAAAUAAGGACCAAAACAACAUUUUUUUUCCUUCAAAUUACAUGGACCAGUAGUAAAAAAAAUAAAAUUACAUGGACUGAUUAAAAUGCUAAAACUGUUGUGUGUACCCGAGUUAUGAGAGUAGUGCAUACGUAAAAUGGGGUGAUAUAUACAAUAUAAUUGAUAUUCAAAAAGUAACGCGAAGGCCAAGGUUACCUUAAUCCCAGGCUUUUCAGCA
rnacentral:lncRNA from 1 species